rnacentral:lncRNA from 1 species
CAUGACAUUGAUUAUUUUUUAUUUUGUGAGGUAUUGUGUUUUAUCAUUUACUGCAUCAUAUUUUAUGAUUAUGAUAAAUCUCAUAGAUUAGGACAAUGAUUUUAGGGCCAUGAUGAGAUCAUGUCAGUGAAAUCUAAAAUCUUAAUAACCCCAAUUUAAAAUAUUUUCAAUGUUAGAUCAUCGAGUCGGAGAUCGAUGAUGUCAAUAAGAUU